UUUUGUAGGACCCGAGGAGGCUCUUCCUCAAUGGAAGGAGAAGAAGGUCCCGCGGGAAGAUUUAGAUCGGGUAAGACUGCAAAGAGAGUCUGCUUAAAGACAAGCCCCCUAACUAUCCCGCUAUUCCUGCCCUAAAGCAAAGGAAUCUGCUUGGUAGGAAUUUCCAGAUUGAAAGUUAAUGAAUCCGUGUAGUGUAAUACAGGUUCUUUCCUCGAAC
rnacentral:lncRNA from 1 species